GCGGGCGUGGCGGAAUUGGCAGACGCGCUAGACUUAGGAUCUAGUGAGGUUACCUCGUGGGAGUUCAAGUCUCUUCGCCCGCACCA
rnacentral:tRNA from 1 species